rnacentral:rRNA from 1 species
GGAUUAGAUACCCUGGUAGUCCACGCCGUAAACGAUGUGCACUAGGUGUUGGGGUUUUUGAUCUCAGUGCCGUAGCUAACGCGUUAAGUGCACCGCCUGGGGAGUAUGCUCGCAAGGGUGAAACUCAAAGGAAUUGACGGGGGCCCGCACAAGCGGUGGAGCAUGUGGUUUAAUUCGAUGAUACGCGAGGAACCUUACCAGGGCUUGACAUAUAGAGGAAUGAUUUAGAGAUAGAUCAGCUGCUUGCAGUCUUUAUACAGGUGCUGCAUGGCUGUCGUCAGCUCGUGCCG